rnacentral:rRNA from 1 species
AUUGAACGCUGGCGGCAGGCCUAACACAUGCAAGUCGAGCGAGCGGCGGACGGGUGAGUAAUGUCUGGGAAACUGCCUGUUGGAGGGGGAUAACUACUGGAAACGGUAGCUAAUACUGCAUACCAUCAGAUGUGCCCAUAGGGGAUUAGCUCGUAGGUGGGGUAACGGCUCACCUAGGCGACGAUCCCUAGCUGGUCUGAGAGGAUGACCAGCCACACUGGAACUGAGACACGGUCCAGACUCCUACGGGAGGCAGCAGUGGGGAAGAUUGGACAAUGGGCGCAAGCCGGAUGCAGCCAUGCCGCGUGUGUGAAGAAGGCCUUCGGGUUGUAAAGCACUGUCAGCGGGGAGGCGGUACCCACAGAAGAAGCACCGGCUAACUCCGUGCCAGCAGCCGCGGUAAUUC